rnacentral:rRNA from 1 species
CGGACCUGACUGCUAUCGGAUUGAUACUAAGCCAUGCGAGUCAUUGUAGUAAUACAAGGCAGACGGCUCAGUAACGCGUAGUCAACCUAACCUAUGGACGGGGAUAACCUCGGGAAACUGAGAAUAAUACCCGAUAGAACAUUAUGCCUGGAAUGGUUUAUGUUUCAAAUAAUUUACUGCCGUAGGAUGGGACUGCGGCCUAUCAGUUUGUUGGUGAGGUAAUGGCCCACCAAGACUAUUACAGGUACGGGCUCUGAGAGGAGUAGCCCGGAGAUGGGUACUGAGACACGGACCCAGGCCCUAUGGGGCGCAGCAGGCGAGAAAACUUUGCAAUGUGCGAAAGCACGACAAGGUUAAUCCGAGUGGUUUCUGCUAAAGGAACCUUUUGCCAGUCCUAGAAACACUGGUGAAUAAGGGGUGGGCAAGUUCUGGUGUCAGCCGCCGCGGUAAAACCAGCACCUCAAGUGGUCAGGAUGAUUAUUGGGCCUAAAGCAUCCGUAGCCUGCUUUGUUAGUUUUCGGUUAAAUCCAUUCGCUCAACGAAUGGGCUGCCGGGAAUACUGCAAAGCUAGGGAGUGGGAGAGGUAGACGGUACUCGGUAGGAAGGGGUAAAAUCCUUUGAUCUAUUGAUGACCACCUGUGGCGAAGGCGGUCUACCAGAACACGUCCGACGGUGAGGGAUGAAAGCUGGGGGAGCAAACCGGAUUAGAUACCCGGGUAGUCCCAGCUGUAAACUAUGCAAACUCAGUGAUGCAUUGGCUUGAUGCCAAUGCAGUGCUGCAGGGAAGCCGUUAAGUUUGCCGCCUGGGAAGUACGUACGCAAGUAUGAAACUUAAAGGAAUUGGCGGGG